UUAGUUGUCAUUUCAGGCAUCAUUUUUUAAUAAAAUGCAUUUAUCUGAGAAAGAACGAAUUGAAAUAUUCAUGAUACAACAAGAAGUCUGUAAUAUGUUUAAUGUAACCCAUGCUGAUCGUCCUGCAAUUACUAGAUCCACCAUUAGUAAAAUUGAAUUAAAAUUUAGGGAACACGGCCAUGUAAGAAAUUUAUUUAAAGGAAAACCUCCAAAAGUAUUUGAAGAUAUGUUCUAUUAGAAACAGAGAAUUAUCUCUAUGUUGCGAUUAGUACAAUUUCCAGAAACUAUAAUUUUUCAGGAAGAAGACGAUUUUGACCCCCGAGUGCAGUUUUAUGAGCAGAUUCUUGAGGCUAACAAUAACAAUGGAAAUUUCAUUCAAAACAUUAUUUUUUCUGAUGAGGCCACCUUUAUGUUAAAGGGACAUGUUAACAGGCAAAAAUGCAGAUAUUAGGAAACCAAAAAUCCUCAUUGGACCCAAGAAUACGAUACACACCGCCCUCAAAAAGAACCUAUUUGAAGUCCAAAAUUUAUAUGAAUAGACCAAAUAUUCAUAUAAACUUUAUAAAUAUUCAUAUAAUGAUUUAAAUGAAAGAAUUCGACAAAAAUUAGACUAAACGAUCCGCAAGUGAUUGAAAAUGUGCAAUUGGAAGUUAUUUACCGGGUUCAAAAAUGCAUUGAAGUAAAUGUAUAACAAAAUUGAAGUUGCAAUAAAUAUUGUAUAAUUUUUAA